rnacentral:rRNA from 1 species
GAGUUUGAUCCUGGCUCAGGACGAACGCUGGCGGCGUGCCUAACACAUGCAAGUCGAGCGAAUGAAGUUCCUUCGGGAAUGGAUUUAGCGGCGGACGGGUGAGUAACACGUGGGUAACCUGCCCUGUACACACGGAUAACAUACCGAAAGGUAUGCUAAUACGAGAUAAUAUGCUUUUAUCGCAUGGUAGAAGUAUCAAAGCUUUUGCGGUACAGGAUGGACCCGCGUCUGAUUAGCUAGUUGGUAAGGUAACGGCUUACCAAGGCGACGAUCAGUAGCCGACCUGAGAGGGUGAUCGGCCACAUUGGAACUGAGACACGGUCCAAACUCCUACGGGAGGCAGCAGUGGGGAAUAUUGCACAAUGGGCGAAAGCCUGAUGCAGCAACGCCGCGUGAGCGAUGAAGGCCUUCGGGUCGUAAAGCUCUGUCCUCAAGGAAGAUAAUGACGGUACUUGAGGAGGAAGCCCCGGCUAACUACGUGCCAGCCGCCGCGGUAAUUC